rnacentral:tRNA from 1 species
GGAAGUGUAGCUCAGUGGUAGAGUAUGUUCUUAGCAAGCAUGAGACCCUGGGUUCAGCUCCUAGCACCA